UACGUAGGGUGCGAGCGUUUGUCCGGAAUUAUUGGGCGUAAAGAGCUUGUAGGCGGUUUGUCGCGUCUGCUGUGAAAAUCCGGGGCUCAACCCCGGACUUGCAGUGGGUACGGGCAGACUAGAGUGUGGUAGGGGGAGACUGGAAUUCCUGGUGUAGCGGUGAAAUGCGCAGAUAUCAGGAGGAACACCGAUGGCGAAGGCAGGUCUCCUGGGCCACUACUGACGCUGAGAAGCGAAAGCAUGGGGAGCGAACAGG
rnacentral:rRNA from 1 species